AGUGAACGCUGGCGGUAGGCCUAACACAUGCAAGUCGAACGGCCGCACAGUAAGAGCUUGCUCUUACGGGUGGCGAGUGGCGGACGGGUGAGGAAUACAUCGGAAUCUACUUUUUCGUGGGGGAUAACGUAGGGAAACUUACGCUAAUACCGCAUACGACCUACGGGUGAAAGCAGGGGAUCUUCGGACCUUGCGCGAUUGAAUGAGCCGAUGUCGGAUUAGCUAGUUGGCGGGGUAAAGGCCCACCAAGGCGACGAUCCGUAGCUGGUCUGAGAGGAUGAUCAGCCACACUGGAACUGAGACACGGUCCAGACUCCUACGGGAGGCAGCAGUGGGGAAUAUUGGACAAUGGGCGCAAGCCUGAUCCAGCCAUACCGCGUGGGUGAAGAAGGCCUUCGGGUUGUAAAGCCCUUUUGUUGGGAAAGAAAAGCAGCAUGUUAAUACCCCACUGUUCUGACGGUACCCAAAGAAUAAGCACCGGCUAACUUCGUG
rnacentral:rRNA from 1 species